CAGUUGAAACAGUAAGGUGGCCAAAGAAGGUUCUCCUUCCCGCAGUAUCAUAAGACUGGUACCAGCUGCUCAACAUGACUGACAAGAGCUGUCUGGAGCCACAUUCUUUCUUCUUGACACCUGACAGAUGGCAGAAAAUAGGUGGCUUUGGCAAAAUUAAUUAGAGACGCAUUGAAGAAACAAUAACCACGAACACCCUCUGGCAAAAAUAUGAUGUUAUUUGGCACAAAGAACCUUUGUGCAAAAGCAUUGCAGCAGCAGAAGUACUCUGACUAUGCCAAAGAAGAGCUCACCAAAUAGAAAACAACCCUUGACAAAAGGAGAGCAGCGUGGCCACAAGGAGCCAUGAGACUGAAGAGCAAAAUUCAACACAUCUCUCCAAGUUACUGACUACAAUGCUAGGUGUCCUGUGUUUUGCUGUUUUUGCCUCUACAGGCACCUGCAGCAAGCCAAGGUGAGUUAAUCAACUUCCUGCACGGUGCACUGCUUUUUCGUUCUCCUCUGUAUGCGCUGGCAGCUCCCUUAUCCCUUAGUUGCUAAGUAUUAGGAAAGGCAGAGAUGCCUGAACUUUUGCAGUUCCUAGAGCUAUUCACCCCUUGCAUGCAAGUCACCAGAGAAGCAGAUGAUCUGAGAAGAGCAUGAGGCAGCCUGGUACACCUCAACCCACUUGGGCAGGUCUCCCCAUUUUAUCAUGGCACCCAAAUCACCUGGUUGAAUAGCCCAAGAGGAGAAGUGGCAUAUUUCCUAUCACUCAACUCUGUUGUAAUAGCAGUUCAGUGUCUGUCUCUAAAGCAGCCUCAUACAUAAGUCAACCUGCUCUCACAGAAAGCUUGACUUCAACUCUGCUUACUCCAGAGAAGAGACUUCUGCUAGGCUCUGUGACUUUGGCUCAUGCACAGAUUACAUUUUUAGUGAAAGAGGGAUGGAUAGGGUAAGGUGAGAAAUGAUACACAUAUGCAGAUAUUGUAUCUCUAGUAAGCCUGCAUAAAGAGAUGUGAGUAGUGAGGAAAGGGUUGAGACCUUUCAGGAAAGCUGAACAGGAGAAGACGAUGUUGGAUGAAAAUGUAGCUGAAUAAAAAAGUGAACCCAAAAACACAGGGAGGAAAACUGAUAGAUACAGAAAAUGGAAGCAGAAAAGAUGUAAGAACUAUAUCAAGAAAUAAUGUGUAAAGAAAGUAAAAAGUCAAAUGACAAGGAAGGCUAAUUGUAUAUUCCAUUGCCUGAAACAGUGCUUAUAGCUGCAAUAUGGCAGUAAAAAUCAGGCUUGUUUCAUAGAUAAACACAGUAUGUUCGAAAUCAGGGAAAAAGUGUGAGGGAACCAAAUAAGCAAGAAAGAAUAAAUGGUCAGUUUUCUCAAGGAAAAGAGGGUACUGCUGGAGACCCACAGGAAUCUGGACUGAGAUCUAUAUUAACACAGAAUUACUCAAGAUAGAAAAACUAAAACUUACAUGAAGAAUU